GGCUCGAAUCAAUGCUCCAUUCAGAAAUAGGAGAAAUCGAGACACUAUUCAUUUUAUAGUUACAAUGAUUAAUUGUGUUGUAGUGUUGCAUCUGAUUUGGUACUCGGUUAGGAACACAUUAUAUAAUUCUCAAAGUAUACAACUUGAUAAAAGGACCUGAAGAAAAAGGAGAUUGUAUAAUUUGAAUCAGAUGAUAAGGGAGAGUGACACUGUGUGCUGGAAUUUUCUUCGUGUAAAUCGAAGAACAUUUUGUGUUCUUCUGGAGAUGGUUAGAGAUGUAGGUGGAUUGAAUGAGACAAAAAAUAUGUGUUUAGAAGAGAUUCUUGCAGGUUUUUUAUACACACUAGCUCAUCAUAAAAAAAAAACAGAACUAUCAGUGCUCAUUUUUAUAGAAGUAUUGAAACUGUUAGUAGGCAAUUUCAUGCAUGUUUGCUUGCCAUUCUGAAAUUACAUGGUGUGCUACUUAAAAAACCAACACCCAUAUCUGAGGACUGCGAUGAUGAGAGAUGGAAUUGCUUUCAGAAUUCUUUAGGUGCACUUGAUGGUACAAUGAUUAGUGUGACUGUACCUUCUGAGGAACGAGCAAAAUAUCGAACAAGAAAAGGUCUCCUUUCCAUGAAUGUUUUAGGAGUAUGCUCACCUGAUAUGGAAUUCAUAUAUGUGUUACCUGGUUGGGAGGGAUCUGCACAUGAUGUUCGGGUUCUUAGAGAUGCAAUAUCUAGGCCUAACGGUUUAAAAGUUCCAAAAGGUUGUUAUUAUCUGUGUGAUGGAGGAUAUACUAAUGGAGAGGGAUUUUUAGCACCAUAUAGAGGACAUCUUUAUCACCUCAGAGAGCGGGAAAAUGGUGCACGUCAACCACACACAGCUGAAGAGUAUUUCAACUGGAGACAUGCGAGAGCUAGAAAUGUUAUUGAGCGGUGAUUUGGAUUAUUGAAAGGAAGCUGGGGGAUUCUAAGAAGUCCAUCCUAGUUUAGCUUACAAACACAUGGUCGUAUUGUGCUUGCAUGUGCUUUAUUACAUAACCUGGUUAAAAGAUAUAUGUCUCCAAGAUCAUUUACUGACAAUAAACUAUAAGAGGAGGUUGAUAGUGACGACG